ensembl:lncRNA
UCUGUCGGCUGCGUGCGAAUUUAGGGGGAAAAAGUAUCGUGACUUUGUCAACCACCAACAUGUUCGUCUCGUCUCGUUAACGAAAGUUAGAAUAGAUUUAGUCAUAGUUUUUAUUCUUUAAGAUCGUUUUCGUCUCGUCUUAGUCUCGUCUUAGUCAUGGAAAAAAGCUUCGUUAACGAAAAAUUUUCGUCAUAGUUUUCGUCGAUGAAAUUAACACUGGAAGUUACCCAGAGGCCAAAAACUACAAAAUAAAAGAGAACCCAAACCGUGACACCCUGCCUCGAUGAGGUGACACCUCCAGGUGGGUGAGUGCUGAAGCCUUCUGCAGAAGGAUGUAUUAUUCCUUGAAAUCCACAAUUUGAUAACAACACCAGAUGAGGAGCAUUCAAGGAAUAGAUUAGCUCACUGAGGCGUGCAUCUUCUCCUAUCCAAAUAGGGUUUAGACAAUGCGCGUGUGUGUUGAGGCCGCGUUGUGUAGUCUUGUUUGUGACACUUGAGACAGAUAAAAGUGGAUUUCUCAGUUUGCAGUCUAAUGUUCCCACUCUGUACUUCCACAGUGUCAAGAGCAGCUCAGCCUACAUGAGACACACUGUCAGGUCCAAAUGCAUCAGCAGUGAAUUGAAAAGUGAAGUGAAAGUAUUUUACUGCUGGAAUGACAAAUUUUCGUCUCCAGACAGACUUCCUAAUACUUACUGGGUAAAAUAAAUAUGAGCGUUUGCUCUACAGUGCGUUCUGUUCUCCUGGUGUCCUUCCUCAUUCUCUGUGUGUUCUCCUCCGAUCCGUUACGUCCACGUUAGGGGGAGUAGUAGGUCGACCCAAAUGCACAAGCACAGCAGUUUGAUUUGUAGCCAAUGAUUGUAUUUCCCAUACGACCUGGGAAGGGAAAAAGAAAAAACAAACAAGGCAAAUAGUCAAAAGGGGAACAGAAAGUGCUCUUCGGGCUCAACUGGAGUCGGGAGGGAAACUCCACCGACGUCUGUCAGGGGAUAAAGCAGUUCUGGUGUGGAAACCCGAGGCCCGACACCAUAACCAGAGUCUGAUUAAAAGGAGUCACGUGUACUCCGUGGGUCUGACACUGCAGGACAUAAACAUGCAAACUGGUGCGCUACAUCUGACAAAAUAAAUACGAGGCGCCCUGAUCCUGAUCAGUGGCAAAAAAACAACAAAACAACAAAAAACAAACAAAACAAAAGCACAGACGGGGAAAAACUGCUAAGCAGAUAGAGACCCUAACAGUCCGAUCUUCAGCUCCUGCUGUCCAUAUUGGACAGUGUCCUCUGGCAGGAUACGGACCCCCAGAUUACUCUGAAUGUUUCCCCGUUGGGGAUUAUUUCUGCUCCUGAUGGGCAGGUGGCAUCUGGAAUGGCAGCAGGUGUUGACAUGCACUUUGAGCUUUGAGUGGUGGAGACUGGAAAGGCGAAACCCAAACAUACAGGGAAGGUGUUGACUUCCACGUUGUGGUGCAUGGCUCAGAACGCUGCACACUCGGGGCCUCGUGGACCAGCGCUUUUGUGCCCACGCAUGUUUGUUACGCAAUGUGCGCGUUAAAGCGCGGCGAGGUACAAACAAGGCGCACGGAGGUAAAAGCGCAGACUGCCUGUCGCAGGAAGUGAAAAAGGCAAAUUGUGCUUUUCCGUGUCAUUUGUGACGCGUGUGGAUUUUAGGGUUCUGGAAGGACCACCGCAGGUUUGUUCAGCACACGUUUCUUUUAUUUUCUGUUUCCGUCCACACAUUUACAUUUACACACUCACGGCGUCCAGUUCGUGGUUUCUAACUACAACCUAACAAGAACCAAUCUGAGGCUCACUGAGAGAAUGAGCUGCCAACCUUUUAGUAAAAAAUAAAAUGAGAUCUACUGAUGGAGAGCUAUGAUGGAGGCUGUUUUUCUUCACACAUGUUCAACUAUCAAACAUAAUUUACCUGCAUUUGAUUGAUUUUUCCGAUAUCAGUGCAUUAGAAGUGAGGCAGUAUACAUCACAUCCAGUGAGGGGCCCAGUCCUUUGGAUAUUUUUCUGUAUGUGGCCCUCGGGAAAACAGUUUGGACUACCCUGCUAUGGACCCGGCGGAGCUGACGGUCCGACCGGCAAACAGUACAGCCGUUGAGGGGGGGGGCGCUGACGGUACGCCAAAGUCGGCCCACUACUCGCCGUUGGCGGCGGGCGGCACCGGACGCUGGAGUUUGAGACCCGAUUCAAUUCAAUUCAUUUUAUAUUGUAGAGCCCAAAAUCGCAAAUUACAAAUUAGCCUCAGAGGGCUUUACAGUCUGUACACAUACAACAUCCUCUGUCCCGAAACCCACCAUCGGCACAGGAAACACUCCCCAAAAAAUGAAAAAAACUUCCAAGAGGGAAAAAGGGAAGAAACCUUAGGGAGAACGUCAGAGGAGGGAUCCCACUCCCGGGAUGGACAGACUACAAUGGAUGCCAUGUGUACAGAAUGAACAAUGUAUAAUACAUGAGACUAUAUGACAGAAAUGAUUCAUGUAAUUGUGAGUAGUAAGCCAGGCGCACAGCAGGACCACUGCAGGGACCACCACCAUCCACAGAAGCCUGUGGGGAGGGAGAGCACAGAGACUUAAGGAGAGGGUAAUGUUGGUUUACGAGUACAGUAAUAUGAUUAAUAUGUAAAAUAAGAAGCUGAAUUAGUCAUGUGCAUUAAUAAAACGUGAAUUAUGGUAGAACGAGAGCGUGAGAGAGGAGCUCGGUGUGUCCUAAGAAGUCCCCCGCCAGUCUAAGCCUAUAGCAGCUUAACUAAGGGCUGGUCCGGACUAACCUGAGCCAGCCCUAACUAUAGGCAGAAUCAAAGAGGAACGUUUUAAGUUUUACUUUAAAAGAGCUGACCGAAUCUGCCCCCCGGACUGAAAGUGGAACCUGGUUCCACAAAAGAGGAGCUUGAUAACUGAAGGCUCUGGCCCCCAGCCUACUUUUUAAAACCAUAGGAACAACAAGUAACCAGCAUCUAUGGAGCGCAGCUACCUUGUAGGGCAACAAGGUGUUACAAGCUCUUUAAGAUACUACGGUGCCUCACCAGCAAGUGCCUUGUAGGUGAGGAGAAGUACCUUAAAAUCUAUUCUUGAUUUAACAUGGAGUCAGUGCAGAGAAGUUAAUACAGGAGCGAUAUGAUCCCUUUUCUUAGUUCUUGUUAAUACACGUGCUGCAGCAUUCUGAAUCAACUGGAGAGGCUUAAGAGAUUUACAAGAGCAGCCUGAUAAC